UUGGUAGAGCGCUUGACUGUUAAUCAAGAUGUCGUCAGUUCGAGUCUGACAGCCG
rnacentral:tRNA from 1 species